rnacentral:rRNA from 1 species
UCCGGUGGCAUGAGCGGAGGGGCCACACCCGUUCCCAUCUCGAACACGGCCGUUAAGCCCUCCAGCGCCGAUGGUACUUGGGGUUAUCCCCUGGGAGAGUAGGUCGUUGCCGGAA